rnacentral:tRNA from 1 species
GGCGAAAUAGCUCAGUUGGCUAGAGCGUCCGGUUCAUACCCGGAAGGUCAAGUGUUCGAAUCACUUUUUCGCUACCA